GGUCGCUGGGCCUCGCAUGCUUCACGACGCGUUUCCCGAAGCCUCGGACCACGAAUAAAUCCUGGUGUGCAUUUACUGACAUUUUCAGACCGCGCUGAUGCCAUGCCGUCCGGCGGUCCAAGCUACGGCAGCUACUGCUGUGUUUCGUGGUGCUUGAACAAUGGCAGAACCCACAAGAAGCCAGGGACGAGUUUCUUCCGCAUACCACGGGACGGCAGGUGCGCUAAAGCUUUUGUAUGGUUUGCAUGUCUUCAAGGUUACUUUUCGUGCUUGCUCAGUGAGGCUAACAAUAACAAAAUCACUGUUCGAGCACUUCGCCUUCAGCUGAUAGUUCAUUGCCGAUGCAGGAUGACAGCAUGGAUGCAGUAUGCCGGACGAGAUGAUCUCCUGAGUAAGCCGGCCAGCCUAUUGUACGCAACGUACAGGGUUUGCAGCGACCAUUUUACUGCUGAUAGUUUCAUGGACCCUGGGCACACAAGGCUUACAAGAAUGGCUGUUCCCUGUGUGCAACCAAUUGCACCAUGUUCUCUGAGCAUCGCUUCAAGUAGUGACUGGGACAUGACUCCAGAAGCCUCACUGCAAGGGUCUGCGGCAGAGGCUUCGAAAAGCGGCUCCCACACAUUGAAGUGCCCCGAGG